CUCACACACGUUACCCACUUCCCUUCCCGUUUCCAUCUCUUAUUUUCGUUGGGUCAGUGCUUGAGUCCGAAGGUAAUGCCUAGCAUUUUCUCCAUUUCGUUCUCCUCCCAUUCGGUUUUUCCCUCAUAAUCAGUUUCUCUCUCUCGCGUCCCUCCAUUGUUAUCAGCAGUUUGGGUGUAUUCC